AUUAGCUGAUUGGCAGCUCUGAGUUAUAAAAACAGGAGCAUGCACGGUUACCUGGGAUGCGUCACUUGGUUAUUUGCUGCGUCGCUAACGCGCUUCUGUCACUUCCCGGAACUAGAUGCGAGUGCUUGAGGCGAGACUGCGAUUUGUUUGGAGAGCAUUUCUGCCUUGACCAUACGAGUCGCGCUGCAAUGUCUGCUUAGUAUUGUCACAUAAAUUGGGCAUAGAUAUUGGAGAAGCUGUGAGAACCUGACACUGCUGGAUCACUGUUUUGUAUCGGCGUUGAAAGAUUCCAUUGGCUUUCUAUAAAAGAUUGACAUCUGCGAUUGGUGUCGUGACGGCCUGUAAUUAUUCCAAUUGGCGUGUUCCGCGUUUGUAUGGCUGCAGUGCUGUCCUGUUUCCAGCGGGUUUUUUAAUCAAGUUUCCAAACGGGGUUUCAAUCCGGUUGCCAGAUUUGUUUUCAAACGUGUUUCUAAACGUGUUUUCAGAUCUGUUUCCAACGGGUUUCUAAGUUAUCUUUUGGUUAUUUUCCUUUUGUGGUUGUUCCAUAUUGUUUUGUCUGUUUUUUUUUUUUAGUUUUACAAUAUUAUUUUUGAAGUAUAUUUAAGAUUUUGAUUUAUUGGAAUUAUCAGUUGUGAAACUUUAAUUAUUUACUUUUGUUUUUUUGUUUUAGGUUUUUAAUGUGACUGUGGUUGAUACCAUAUCUAUCUUGGCAGGGCUUGAGCACUAGGGGCGAAGGACUGGUUUUGGUGGUGGUAUUUCCUCACAAGUGUGCAGUGGCUAUCUCACUGUGUGUGGGUGCGCGCGUGUGUGUACACAGUGAAGUACAGUGAUUUACUUAGGAGUAUGGUCUGAUUUUCUGCUUUUCUAUGCUGGUAAGCUCUAAUCCCUGUCUCUCAACCUGUUCAAGGACGAGAAUUGUAGCUUGUUUGGCUAAAUGUUUGUUUUAGUUAUUCUAAUGUUUUUGUGUCAAUAAAGAGAACUUUGUAUCGUCA